rnacentral:rRNA from 1 species
CCCUUAGAUGUUCUGGGCCGCACGCGCGCUACACUGACGAAGUCAGCGAGCAUGUCCUACGCCGACAGGUGCGGGGAAUCUUGUCAAACUUCGUCGUGAUGGGGAUUGAUUAUUGAAAUUCUUGAUCAUCAACGAGGAAUUCCUAGUAAGCGCAAGUCAGCAGCUUGCGUUGAUUACGUCCCUGCCCUUUGUACACACCGCCCGUCGCUAUUACCGAUUGAAUGGUUUAGUGAGAUCUUCGGAUUGGCGCCACUGCGGCUCAGCAAUGGGCUCGGUGGAUGCCGAAAAGUUGAUCAAACUUGAUCAUUUAGAGGAAGUAAAAGUCGUAACA